ensembl:snRNA U6 U6 spliceosomal RNA
AUGCUCACUUCAGCAGCACAUAUACUAAAAUUGGAACAAUACAGAGAAGAUUAAUAUGGCCCCUGCACAAGGAUGACAUGGAAGUAACUGUAGACACAUUUUUUU